rnacentral:tRNA from 1 species
CUCUAGUAGCUUAAUCACAAAGCGUCGGUCUUGUAAUCCGAAGAUUGAAAGUUAAACUCCCUCCUAGUGCCAGAAAAAARAGAUUUUA